GUGUGGAUUUCCAACAGGGCACGCAUGCGAAGAGCGGUCAUAAGAUAGACAUAGAAAAGCUUAAAAGCUUAUCACCGAAUAUCAUUGAUCUGCGGUCACCUUGGAUAAGUGAACGAAACAUCACGCGAUUCUUAUCUAUGUUUUUGCAUAUCGAGAUAAGAGUGCCGUUAUGUAAAAGCUUUUUCUCUAGCAUAGUUAGGGCUAGAUUUGCAUAGGAGAGCUUUGACAUUUUUUGACGAGCUUGAAAGCAAUACGGCUGCAAUUGUAAGCCAAGUUUAAUAAAUAUUUAAAUUGUGCUGAAAAUUAAGUAAAAUCAAAUCCCAGACGAAUUAUCGGGAUUCAUUUAAUAAGUGUUUAGUUAUUUUAUGCCAGUGCCACGUGCCAGUGCGGCUAGUACCAAAUUAUGUAAGCGGCUAGCACCAGUUUUUUUUAAUCGGCUAGUACAGGAUUAUGUAAUCGUCUAGCACCCUAUUAUGCAACCGGCUAUCUGGAGGCCGAAAUGGAUGAAAUAUGGGAAUUGAAUAGUGCAGAGAUUCGACGCGGGAUCGCAAUCUUUUGAUAAAUAUUUUUUUGGAUUCGACGACAAGCCCCCUUUUCGCUACACGGAGAGAAAACUCCAGCGAAUUAUUGAUAAAUUUGUAA